UACGGAGGUUGCAAGCGUUAUCCGGAAUUAUUGGGCGUAAAGCGUCCGCAGGUGGCAAUGUAAGUCUGCUGUUAAAGAGUCUAGCUCAACUAGAUAAAAGCAGUGGAAACUACAUAGCUAGAGUACGUUCGGGGCAGAGGGAAUUCCUGGUGUAGCGGUGAAAUGCGUAGAGAUCAGGAAGAACACCAGUGGCGAAGGCGCUCUGCUGGGCCGUAACUGACACUGAGGGACGAAAGCUAGGGGAGCGAAUGGG
rnacentral:rRNA from 1 species